rnacentral:rRNA from 1 species
UACGAAGGGGGCGAGCGUUGUUCGGAUUUACUGGGCGUAAAGGGCGCGCAGGCGGCGGAUCAAGUCAGACGUGAAAGCCCCGGGCUUAACCUGGGAACUGCGUUUGGGACUGAUUGCUAGAGAUCGGGAGAGGAGAGUGGAAUUCCCAGUGUAGAGGUGAAAUUCGUAGAAUAUUGGGAAGGACACCGGUGGCGAAGGCGGCUCUCUGGACCGAUACUGACGCUGAGGCGCGGAAAGCGUGGGGAGCAAACAGG